rnacentral:rRNA from 1 species
UGGGGAAUAUUGCACAAUGGGGGCAACCCUGACGCAGCAACGCCGCGUGCGGGACGACGGCCUUCGGGUUGUAAACCGCUUUCAGCAGGGAAGAUAGUGACGGUACCUGAAUAAGAAGCCCCGGCUAACUACGUGCCAGCAGCCGCGGUAAUACGUAGGGGGCAAGCGUUAUCCGGAUUUACUGGGUGUAAAGGGAGCGCAGACGGCUGUGCAAGUCUGAAGUGAAAGCCCGCGGCUCAACUGCGGGAUUGCUUUGGAAACUGUGCGGCUUGAGUAUCGGAGAGGUAAGCGGAAUUCCAAGUGUAGCGGUGAAAUGCGUAGAUAUUUGGAGGAACACCGGUGGCGAAGGCGGCUUACUGGACGAAAACUGACGUUGAGGCUCGAAGGCGUGGGGAGCAAACAGG